GUGUUUUUCAUGCAAGGAAGAUGUGAGGGACCUGACACAAGGCCACCAGCCCUACUUCACAGCUGUAUACCAACACCUCUGUUUAAACCUGGAAUGGCUAGGAGACCGUGAAUCCAGAAAAAAUAACAGGAAGAACAUGGGAAAUGAGCACACAUUGUGGAUUCCCUUCAUACCCCUCAAGCCUGGAGGAACUAGAUUGAGCAGCCAGCCAUCCAGCCUCAGCCACAGUAUCUUGGAGUCCAAGACUGAGAUGCUGAAGCCUACUGCCAGGGGCUCUAUGUACCAGGAAAUAUCAUACCACAGAGGAGUGGGCACUGGAGGCCCAGGGACUGCUCCACAGAGGCCGGAAAAAAAUAAAACUGUCUGUGGCCAAUGUACACUUCCAAGUCUCAAGGUGAUGGCAGUAAUGAUUAAUCCAUCUGCUAAAGCAGCAGGAAUUGAUAUUGUGCAACUGGCCUUGUCACCCAACCCUAUUUCCUCCAAAUGCCUCUAAUUAAAUCCUGUCCCAU
rnacentral:lncRNA from 1 species